UACGUAGGGUGCAGGCGUUAAUCGGAAUUACUGGGCGUAAAGCGUGCGCAGGCGGUUUGCUAAGACAGGUGUGAAAUCCCCGGGCUUAACCUGGGAACUGCGCUUGUAACUGGCAAGCUAGAGUGUGGCAGAGGGGGGUGGAAUUCCACGUGUAGCAGUGAAAUGCGUAGAUAUCUGGAGGAACACCGGUGGCGAAGGCGGCAUUCUGGACUACAACUGACACUGAGGAACGAAAGCCAGGGGAGCAAACGGG
rnacentral:rRNA from 1 species